rnacentral:lncRNA from 1 species
GCAUGGGCAUUGAUGUGAUUGUCAAAGCAAUUUGUUCAUUUUAUUAAUGUUUGCCAGCACCCAUCACCCUGGAAACCCCCCAGCUGGUUUUGGUUGUCAAACAAGUCAGUGAAAUAGUUGAAUGCUGUCAUUUUUUGUACCAAUUUUAACUUGUUGCUUAAAGCAAUGUUUUGGCGAGACAAUUGAAUUGCUGCUGUUUAACUGGAAAUGGAUUUUUCCAGUUUGAUAGUGUAUUCAACUUCUUCCUCAGUUCUAUUCUGUGCUUAGCUUUUACCUGCACCCUCUCUUCAACUUCUAUUAUUGAAGAUUUAGAAGUAUAUGAUUGUUUAGUAAAGUCUAAAGAUUCAAGCCCCCAUGUCUUUGAACUGUGAGGUAUUAUCAUUCACUUUACUGAGUUUCUUUUUUUUUUUUUUUAAACUUGAGUAGAUUGCUAGUUUUUAAUCAUUAUUUUUCCAUAACCAAUUCUGAAAAUUAUCGAAAUAUUGAAGAUGGACCUAAACUUUAUAUGUUUCCUGUCCUUACUUUCGUUUGCAGAAAUCUUCAGACCAAACGAUAGCCGAGGUUAAACAGUAAAGAUCGAACUUUACCUUUGCACUCUCUACGUAUUCAUCGUUUAUGACUCUGAACACUAGACUUAUGUUUUGGACAAGUUAAGUUAUCAAAAUCUAUCAAAUUACGCAUUCACAUUUUAUUUUAGGCACAAUGCAUCUCAAUGUUACAAGUUCAUCCCAAUUAUGCUUCGCUUUGACAGUUGAUAAACAAUGGAAUAUGCAAUUUGCGAGUACUAACAAAAGCAUGAGAGACAGUAAAAUCAAGAGAACAUUGAUAAAGUUUCUGUGCUGGAUACAGAGCUAAAAUUGCCAAGGUUCAUAAGCAAGAAGUUGAACACCAUUCCAAAACGGGGAACACCACUCCGAAACGGGGAGGCUUGUAUAACCCUUGUUGAAGGAGCUCUCCCCCCUUGUGCAAGCUUUUCCAGCACCAAGAAGCUGUGUGCGGGGGCUUUUGGUCUAACCAGUCCUCAUGCUUCAUGUACUUAGCUUUCAGGACCUUGCUUACUAAUAAAUUUGGAUUGGUGACAACUCUCCAAAUUUGUUUUGCAAGCAAGGCCACGUUGAGAGCUUUCAAGUCUCUAAAGCCCAAACCCCCUUUCCCUUUAACCUCCGACAGCUUACUCCAUCUAACCCAAUGAAUUUUAUUUUCUGCAACCCCACCACCCCACCAGAAUCUAGCUAUGGUUGCACUAAUGGCCUUACACAAGCCUUUAGGGAGCUUGAAGCAAGACAUAAUGUAUGUAGGCAUGGCCAUAAUGACUGAUUUGAUUAAAACCUCCUUACCCCCUGGACUAAGCAACUUAUGUUUCCACCCUUGAAGUUUACUUGUGAUUACACUUUUCAGGUACCCAAAAAUCUGAUUCUUAGCUCUCCCAAUAGUCAUCGGUAAGCCUAAGUAUUUACCAUUAGAGGCUUCUCUCAUGUUGUCCAAGACCUCACUAAUUUCCCUUCUAAUCAAGUUGGGAGUAUUUUUAGAGAAAAACAUAGCUGACUUAUCAAAAUUUACUACCUGUCCCGUGGCUUGACCAUAUAUCUGAAUGAUCUCCUUGACCUUUUGUGCCUCCUCCUUGCUUGCUUUGCAACACAAUAAUGAGUCAUCUGCAAAAAAGAGAUGUGAAACCAUAGGGUUGUCCUUGCAGACUUUGAUGCCAGUUAGUUGCUUUUUUUCCACAGCUUUCUUGAUUAAAUUAGACAGCCCUUCCGUACAUAUAAUGAACAGGUAGGGAGAAAGGGGGUCUCCUUGUCGGAUUCCUCUGGAAGGUUUGACGUUGCCCACCUUUUGUCCAUUUAAAUUAAAGGAGUAGUGGACUGUGGAAAUACACGUCAUGAUCCAGCGAACAAAAAUAGGGCAAAAUCCCAUUUGCAACAUAAUUCUGCCUAGGAAUUUCCACUCCACUCUGUCAUAGGCUUUAGACAUAUCAAGCUUUAAGGUCAUGAAGCCUACUCUACCUCUCCUCUUGUUGUUCAAAAAAUGCAACAUUUCAUGAGUUAUGAUAACAUUGUCUAGAAUUUGUCGCCUUGGUACAAAGGCAGAUUGUGAGGGCUAAUACAAUGCUUGAGGACUUUUUUCAGUCUAUUGGCCAAGAUCUUAGAUAUAAUUUUAUAAAUCACUGUGCAAAGACUAAUGGGUCUGAAGUUAGUAAGCACUACAGGAUUUUCAACUUUAGGGAUUAAGGAGAUAAUGGUCUCAUUGAUGGCUGUUAAGAUUUUGCUAGAAUGAAAAAAGCUAGUCACAGCAUUAACAACAUCAUUUUUGAUAAUAUGCCAGUAUGUUUGGAAGAAUAAAGGGGGCAUACCAUCAACUCCAGGAGCUUUAUUAGGGAACAUGGAAAAAAUGGCUUGUUGAAUCUCCAACUUAGUCACAGGUUUAAUCAACUGUGUUCAUGAGACUGGAAAUAGUGCGAGGUAUGCCUAGCAACACUUCUUCAAAUUCGGUAGGAUCAUUAGACUUGAAGAGCUCCGAUAGUGUUUGCUAAUUUCAGCUUCAAUUUCCUCUUCAUCUGCACACCACACCCCAUUUGUCUUCUGGAGUAUGCUGAUAUUGUUCCGUUUCCUAUUAGCCAUGACACUUAGGUGAAAGUAAGCUGUAUUUUUAUCCCCCUCCUUGAGCCAUCUGCUUCUUGAUUUCUGGCUCCAAUAUAGCUCUUCAUCCUUGUAUGCUUUACUCAGUUUGUAGCUUCAAGUUUGCAAUAGCUCCUUUCUUAUCCAACUCACUCCCCUCACGUGCUACCCUUAGUUGCUCCUUUAGCUCCUCAAUUUUUGCCUUUGUAUUGCCUUUAUUUGCCUUGUGCCAUUCAAUCAAAGCUACUCUACAUUCCUUGAUUCGUCUCACCACUCUAAACAUUCUAGACCCAUGUUGCUCCAGCCCCAAGCUCUUUGGAUAACAGCCACAGACUCCUCAUCCUUUGCCCAUCUCUGAUCAAAACAGAACCUUCUUUUUAUACCCCUUUGCUUCGGUUUAGUAUCCACCAUUAGCAGGCAGUGAUCUGAUGCUUCUUUCUCAAUGUGUUCAACUGUAGUAUUCUCAUACGCUUGCACCCAUCCAACACUCCCUAAACAUCGAUCUAGCCUCUCUUUUAUCUCUCCCUCCCCUUCCCAUGUGUUGCUCCAUGUCCAAGGAACCCCUUUAUACCCUAUAUCCAUCAAUUCGUUCUAAGAGAUAAAACUAUUGAACUCCCUAAAACUACCCUGUGAUCUCUCUUUCCCUCCCCAUUUCUCCCCAUUUGAGCAGAUAUCAUUGAAGUCUCCCACUAUUAUCCACUUUUCCCCCCAUUCCCUUUUCUUUUCCUUUAUAGUCUCCCAUUGUUGCACUCUUACUCUUUCCUCAGUACUUGCAUAUAUUCCUACCAGCCACCAGUGAUCAUUUAACUCCUUAUCUACCACCAUUGCUGCAAUGUACCACUCAGUGCUGUGUACAUCAAGCAGUUCAUCCCCUCCUUCCAAAACAAAGCUAAUCCCCCUGUUCUACCCUUGGGAUUCACGACAAGGCUAUGUUCAAAUUUAAUCCUUUUUUGUACCUGCUUCAUGUACCAUUCUUUGUUUUUUGUUUCACACAAAAAUACUAUACUAGGAGAGUGGAGGUGAAGUACCUCCUUAAGUUGGGGAAUUGUCAAGGGGCUUCCUGCACCUCGACAAUUCCACACCGCCACCUUCAUUGUGUUGGUGGAGGCAUUGCGGGGCUAGCCUCCAAUUCCUCUCCAUGUUGUGCAUCAUCUUGAUCCCUUUUUAAGCACUUGUGGUGUGGACCUUGUACUGUGUCCUCUUCCAUUAGAUCCAAGUCAUGGCAUUCUUCCUAUGUUUUUCUUUUCUCUCCAAUGUUGCUCUCUGUCCCCCUGUCCGUGAUAUCUUUCAAUGGUACCCUUUUGGUGCCCAAACUCCUCCUCCACUGAUUUUUCCUUCCUGGAUUGCUUUCACUUACUUGGAUUCAGCUCAUGGCAUCUAUUGUGUUACUGUCUUUGCUAGUCAAACUCCCCUUUCCUGACUUGUCUAUCCCCUCUCUAACAACACAGUCAUCUAACACCAUAUUCUCUGGGAUCUGAUUUUCUUUUCUAAUCAAGCCUACUCCCAGGUCCACUACCACCUUAUGGGCUUCAACAUUUCCCUGCACUGUAGUUCCACUCCCCUCUUUUUGUUUUCCCUCACCCUUACCCUCUUUCUCUACUCGUCCUUUCAGUCCUGCACUUUCCCUCAGAAUCUCUCCCCAUUUUUCCUCCAUUGCCAGUUUUUCCUGAUCAUUUCCCUUAGUCUCCUUGUCACCCCCCUGCUACUUACACCACCCAUGACUCCAGAUCCUCCCUCAAGUAUCCCCCCUAUCCUGCUAUUGGAUCCUUUAUCUACCAUUGUCAACUCUUUAGGUUUCUGACUCGCCUCUGUGUUAGACGUGAAGCAUGCUUUCAAGGGGGAGGCCAUUAUAUUUCCUGCCCUCAUCCAAGUAUCAUACUGGCCUUCCCUACAAGACAGUCCUUCCCUUUUGUCCCCUGUACAUGACUUGUCCCCAUGCCCAAUGAUCCCACAAUUGUAGCAAAAAUCUGGGCAUCUCUCAUACUUAAAUUCCACCCAUGUGUUCACUCCCUCAAGCUUUACCAACGUACCUCUCGGGAGAGGUUGUAGCAUAUCCACUUCAGCCAUAACCUUCAGAUGUCUCCCAGACUUUCCCCCCCUGGUGGAACCAGUACCUCUCUCACCGACCUAAAAAUCUUUCCUAACUUAAAGCCCACUGACUUGCACAACCAAUGGACUGGAAGAUUCCAGAUUUGUACCCAUAUGUGUGCAAAUCUAAAAUGGUGGAGCUUCCUUUCACGCCCAACCUCCCAUACCUUAAUCACUAGAAUCUGAUUAUCCAUAAUCCACGGUCCUCCCAACAGGAUUUUUUCAUGGUCCUCUCCCCUUUCUAACCGGAAUUGAAAAAGAUUUGGACCCAGCUCAGUAACAGUUGACUUCCUGGGAUAUCCCCAUGCAUGAUUAGUAAAAUUCUUAAUACCCGUGAAAUGUGCAACCCUUUCGCCAAUCAACCUUCCCACCAGACUCUACCUACAGUCUUGGAUCCCCUCACUUAUAUCGUCAGAGGAGAGAUCUACACCUUUUAGCUCCGACUGAGACAGGUUGAACUUUCUAAAAGCUCUUGUUAGAUCUUCCUCCAUCCUCCAGAUUCUAGUUGUCGAGGCGCAACCUUGCACUAUUUCCAAUCAUAGAAGAUCCAGUUGAGUACCCCUGCAAAACAGAGUAGGAGGGCACCAAAAAACAGCAAAAAAAAACCUAGUCUAUACUACCAAAAAAGACAACUACGAAUUCACGCACAUCAGCUCAUCGAAAGUUCAAGUCACCUUUUCUGGGUUGUAUCCUUCAAAUGUUCCUAGGAUCAUGACCAUUUCCACACAAGAAACAGAGUUGCAGCUCGGAGAAGAGUUUAUGGAUGUGGGUUUGGGUGUCUCGGUUGUACGGAAGCUGAACAGUCACUAUUGGAAGUAAAGCUAGCUCUGUGUAACUUUCUAUUUUGGGUUGGCGCAGUUUUUUCAAUUUUGAAACCUCCUAUGAGGAGAAGAAAAGCUCUCAAACUAGAGAGAGAUGCUCUCAAGUAAGAGAGAGAGAGAGUUCCCUUUUGACCUUGUCAGUUGUCAUUUUUAGGUGGUUUUAUGACACGGGAUUCGAGGGUUGUUGAAAGGAAAAAGCCUGGAAAAGCAAAAGCAAGAAAGAGCUUCCAGUGGGUCAAGCGUUAGAGCAAGUCUUGCCUAUGUUACGGUUUCGUUCCUACAAUACGUUGACAUAAAAUUAAAUUGGACGCCUGAUACGUAGUUUAGCUUGUAACUGGAGUGUCCAAUGGCAGCGCAUGGGCAUUGAUGUGAUUGUCAAAGCAAUUUGUUCAUUUUAUUAAUGUUCGCCUGCACCCAUCACCCUGGAAACCCCCAGCUGGUUUUGGUUGUCAAACAAGUCAGUGAAAUAGUUGAAUGCUGUCAUUUUUUGUACCAAUUUUAACCUGUUGCUUAAAGCAAUGUUUUGGCGAGACAAUUGAAUUGCUGCUGUUUAACUGGAAAUGGAUUUUUCCAGUUUGAUAGUGUAUUCAACUUCUUCCUCAGUUCUAUUCUGUGCUUAGCUUUUACCUGCACCCUCUCUUCAACUUCUAUUAUUGAAGAUUUAGAAGUAUAUGAUUGUUUAGUAAAGUCUAAAGAUUCAAGCCCCCAUGUCUUUGAACUGUGAGGUAUUAUCAUUCACUUUACUGAGUU